rnacentral:rRNA from 1 species
AACGAACGCUGGCGGCAGGCCUAACACAUGCAAGUCGAGCGCCGUAGCAAUACGGAGCGCCAGACGGGUGAGUAACACGUGGGAACGUGCCCAAAGGUACGGAACAACUCCGGGAAACUGGAGCUAAUACCGUAUGUGCCCGAGAGGGGAAAGAUUUAUCGCCUUUGGAUCGGCCCGCGUCUGAUUAGCUAGUUGGUGAGGCAACGGCUCACCAAGGCGACGAUCAGUAGCUGGUCUGAGAGGAUGGCCAGCCACACUGGGACUGAGACACGGCCCAGACUCCUACGGGAGGCAGCAGUGGGGAAUAUUGGACAAUGGGCGCAAGCCUGAUCCAGCCAUGCCGCGUGAGUGAUGAAGGCCUUAGGGUUGUAAAGCUCUUUCGCCAGGGACGAUAAUGACGGUACCUGGAUAAGAAGCUCCGGCUAACUUCGUGCCAGCAGCCGCGGUAACAC